UUGCUCAGUUUUGAGGUUGAUUGUGAAUGUUUUGCUGCAGUUACAGAGGAUGGGGGAUAGUAUUCUGAAUUUUGUUUGUGCAGCUGUUCUUGCUUUUCUAAUGUUAGAAUUGAUGUGCAAUGCUAUAAUUCAAAUUAUCAACUCUAUUUUCAUGUAUUGAUGACUUGAGCAUUUCCAAAUUCAAACCAAACAUAGUUUCAGCUUCUUUCAGGUUACAUAUUUAGAACCUGGUCAG
rnacentral:misc_RNA from 1 species